rnacentral:rRNA from 1 species
UACGUAGGGUGCAAGCGUUGUCCGGAAUUAUUGGGCGUAAAGAGCUCGUAGGCGGUUUGUCGCGUCUGCUGUGAAAACUCGGGGCUUAACUCCGGGCCUGCAGUGGGUACGGGCAGACUAGAGUGCGGUAGGGGAGACUGGAAUUCCUGGUGUAGCGGUGAAAUGCGCAGAUAUCAGGAGGAACACCGGUGGCGAAGGCGGGUCUCUGGGACGUGACUGACGCUGAGACGCGAAAGCGUGGGGAGCAAACAGG